AUGGCGGCUUCAGCAAAAACAAAGAAUAAGAAGGGGAAGAAUAUCUCCCUGACAGACUUUCUGGCUGAGGGUGGGGGUACUGGUGCAGGAAGCACCUAUGUCCCCAAACCAGUCAGCUGGGCUGAUGAAACAGAUGACCUGGAAGGAGAUGUUUCAACCACUCGGCACAGUAAUGAUGAUGAUGUGUAUAGGGCACCUCCCAUUGACCAUUCCAUCCUUCCCACUGCUCCACAGGCUGCUCGGGAACCCAAUAGAGAUCAGAGCCAUCUUCCCAAAUCGCCCCCCUAUACUGCUUUUCUAGGGAACCUGCCCUGUGAUGUGACAGAAGAAUCGAUUAAGGAAUUCUUUAGAGGAUUAAAUAUCAGUGCAGUGCGGUUACCCCAUGAAUCCAGCAAUCCAGAGGUUGAAAGGUUUUGGUUUUGCUGGGUUUGAGGACCUGGAUUCCCUGCUCAGUGCCAUGAGUCUCAAUGAAGAGUCUCUAGGUAACAGGAGAAUUCGAGUUGAUGUUGCUGAUCAAGCUCAGGAUAAAGACAGGGAUGAUUGUUCUUUUGGCCGGGAUAGAAACCGGGAGUCUGACAAAACAGAUACAGACUGGAGAGCCCAUCCUACCACAGAUACCUUUGAUGACUACCCGCCUAGAAGAGGUGAUGAUAGCUUUGGAGACAAGUAUCGAGAUCGUUAUGAUUCAGAUCAGUAUUGGGAUGGGUAUCGGGAUGGUCCACACCGGGACGUGGAUCAAUAUGGGAGCCGGGAUCACUAUGAUGACCGAGGUAGCAGAGACUACGAUAGAGGCUAUGAUUCCAGGAUAGGCAGUGGCAGAAGAGCAUUUGGUAGUGGGUACCGCAGAGAUGAUGACUACAGAGGAGGCGGGGACCGAUAUGAAGACCAAUACGACAGACGGGAUGACAGAUCAUGGAGCUCCAGAGAUGAUUACUCUCACUCUCGGGAUGAUUAUAGGCUUGAUGAGAGAGGUCCCCCCCCCCAAAGACCCAAACUGAAUCUAAAGCCUCGGAGUACUCCUAAGGAGGAUGAUUCCUCUGCUAGCACCUCCCAGUCCAGUCGAGCAGCUUCUAUCUUUGGAGGGGCAAAGCCUGUUGACACAGCGGCUAGAGAAAGAGAAGUAGAAGAACAACUACAAAAGGAACAGGAGAAAUUGCAACGUCAGCUGGAUGAGCCAAAACUAGAACGACGGCCGAGGGAGAGACACCCAAGCUGGCGAAGUGAAGAAACUCAGGAAUGGGAACGGUUGAGGACAGGAAGUGAAUCAUCACAGCCUGGGACCUCAGCCACAUCUGGCAGAAAUGUGCGAAGGAGAGAGAGUGAGAAGUCUCUAGAAAAUGAAACACUUAAUAAGGAGGCAGACUGUCACUCUCCAACUUCUAGCCCUCCAAACCUGAUCAGCCCCUAAAGGUAAUGCCAGCCCCUCCACCAAAGGGGAAUGCUUAGGUGAAGCGAAGUUCUAACCCUCCUGCUCGAUCUCAGAGCUCAGACACAGAGCAGCAAUCCCCUACAAGUGGCGGGGGGAAACCAGCUCCAGCUCAGCCGUCUGAGGAAGGACCAGCAAGGAAAGAUGAAAAUAAAGUAGAUGCGAUGAGUGUCUCAAAGGGCCAAACUGGGACCCCUAGCCGUGGUCCAGGAGAUGGAGGGAACAAAGACCACUGGAAAGAAUCAGAUAGGAAAGACAGCAAAAAGGAUCAAGACUCCAGAUCUGCACCUGAGCCAAAGAAACCUGAGGAAAAUCCAGCCUCCAAGUUCAGUUCUGUGAGCAAGUAUGCUGCUCUCUCUGUUGAUGGUGAAGAUGAAAAUGAGGGAGAGGAUUACACCGAAUAGACCUCGACAUCUUGUGCUUUCGCCUAGUCUCUCUCCACCCUGGAACAUUCGAGAGCAAAUCAAACCUCUAUUCAAACAAGAAAAAUAAAACUCAUCAUCUCCUGGAAACUUUUCUUAACUUUUUUUUUUUUUAAAAAAAUGAAAUGAAAUUCUUUUGCAUGCUGCUGCAGCCUUUAAAGUAUUGAAGUAACUGGAGAAUCGCCAAUGUAUCCAGAGAGAAAGACACUACAGCUUUUUUAAUGGAAAAGUUGUGGUGCGAUUUUUAUGACACUAUGCAGUUGCCUGUGUGAUUAGUGCCUGGGGGACUCCAUUUAGCAGAAAUGUAAUGACAGUGAUAUGAUGUCUGGAAUCUGGGCAGUAGGGGAGGUAUAAGGAAGAGUGUGAGAUUUCCACCUUUUAAUUCUUAUCCUAUUGUGGCAUAUAUGAAUUUUCAAACAUUAUCUGAAUAAAUUUUCCAUCCUUGGAAAGGUAGAUUUAGCCUCUCAAAUUGUUUUAGUCUCCAGGAGGCUGCUAGCCCCUCCUCUUAUUUAAUUCUGAGAUAUUGGGGCCAGCCUAGGGGGAGUUCCUUCAUUUUUUACCCCCCAGGGGGGUAGUUGGGAGUGAGUUACAGGCUGCUAAAGAAUAGGACUGCUUGGGACCAAAAUAAAUGGGAAAAUCGUGGUUUGAAAAGAAGCUUUUGGGAGGUGAUGAAUCAUUUUGCACCAGCUUAUAGGGGAAAAAUAAUGUUAACUCCAAUAAACACAUGAAUGGUUAUUUCCUGGAACAGGAAGCACUUUGGGAUCUUGGGAAUUCCCAGUCUUAUGUGUCCUGGUUUUGCCCUUUCUAAACACUGUCCUUUUUGAAAGUUCAAAUAUAUCCACAUUCUGUUGAAACCUUGAAGCUUUAAAAA